rnacentral:rRNA from 1 species
UACGUAGGGCGCAAGCGUUGUCCGGAAUUAUUGGGCGUAAAGAGCUCGUAGGCGGUCUGUCGCGUCGGCUGUGAAAACCCGAGGCUCAACCUCGGGCCUGCAGUCGAUACGGGCAGACUAGAGUGCUGUAGGGGAGACUGGAAUUCCUGGUGUAGCAGUGAAAUGCGCAGAUAUCAGGAGGAACACCGGUGGCGAAGGCGGGUCUCUGGGCAGUAACUGACGCUGAGGAGCGAAAGCGUGGGGAGCAAACAGG